AUACAUAGGGGGCAAGCGUUAUCCGGAAUUAUUGGGCGUAAAGGGUGCGUAGGCGGUCUAUUAAGUUUAAGGUAUAAGUGCAAGGCUCAACCUUGUGAGGCUUUAGAAACUGGUAGGCUAGAGAUAGCUAGAGGCAAGUGGAAUUCCAUGUGUAGCGGUAAAAUGCGUAAAUAUAUGGAGGAACACCAGUGGCGAAGGCGGCUUGCUGGGUCUAUACUGACGCUGAGGCACGAAAGCGUGGGGAGCAAACAGGAUUAGAUACCCUGGUAGUCCACGCCGUAAACGAUGAGUACUAAGUGUUGGGGGAACCCAGUGCUGUAGUUAAUAUAUUAAGUACUCCGCCUGAGUAGUACGUACGCAAGUAUGAAACUCAAAUGAAUCGACGGGG
rnacentral:rRNA from 1 species